rnacentral:rRNA from 1 species
GACAUAGGUCGCAAACGUUAUCCGGAAUUACUGGGCGUAAAGGGCUCGUAGGCGGCCAACUAAGUCGGACGUGAAAUCCCCAGGCUCAACCUGGGAACUGCGUCCGAUACUGGAUGGCUUGAAUCCGGGAGAGGGAUGCAGAAUUCCAGGUGUAGCGGUGAAAUGCGUAGAUAUCUGGAGGAAUACCAGUGGCGAAGGCGGCAUCCUGGGCCGGCAUUGACGCUGAGGAGCGAAAGCCAGGGGAGCAAACGGG